rnacentral:pre_miRNA from 1 species
AAUGUACUCCAUCCGUCUCAAAAUUAUUGUCUUAGAUUUGUCUAGAUACAGAUGUACCUAAUACUAAAACGUGACUUGAUAUAUCCGUAUUUAGACAAAUCUAAGACAAGAAUUUUGGGACGGAGGGAGUAGUAG